rnacentral:rRNA from 1 species
GACGAACGCUGGCGGCGCGCCUAACACAUGCAAGUCGAACGGAGUUAUUUCAGCAGAAGCUUUCGGGUGGACGCAGGGAUAACUUAGUGGCGAACGGGUGAGUAACACGUGAGGAACCUGCCCUGGAGUGGGGGAUAACAGUUGGAAACGACUGCUAAUACCGCAUGACGCAUAGGAGCCGCAUGGCUCUUAUGCCAAAGAUUUAUCGCUGAAAGAUGGCCUCGCGUCUGAUUAGCUAGUUGGUGAGGUAACGGCCCACCAAGGCGACGAUCAGUAGCCGGACUGAGAGGUUGACCGGCCACAUUGGGACUGAGAUACGGCCCAG